rnacentral:rRNA from 1 species
AUUGAACGCUGGCGGCAGGCCUAACACAUGCAAGUCGAGCGGAUGAAGGGAGCUUGCUCCUGGAUUCAGCGGCGGACGGGUGAGUAAUGCCUAGGAAUCUGCCUGGUAGUGGGGGAUAACGUCCGGAAACGGGCGCUAAUACCGCAUACGUCCUGAGGGAGAAAGUGGGGGAUCUUCGGACCUCACGCUAUCAGAUGAGCCUAGGUCGGAUUAGCUAGUUGGUGGGGUAAAGGCCUACCAAGGCGACGAUCCGUAACUGGUCUGAGAGGAUGAUCAGUCACACUGGAACUGAGACACGGUCCAGACUCCUAAGGGAGGAAGCAGUGGGGAAUAUUGGACAAUGGGCGAAAGCCUGAUCCAGCCAUGCCGCGUGUGUGAAGAAGGUCUUCGGAUUGUAAAGCACUUUAAGUUGGGAGGAAGGGCAGUAAGUUAAUACCUUGCUGUUUUGACGUUACCAACAGAAUAAGCACCGGCUAACUUCGUG